GUGAAUCAUCAAAUUUUUGAACGCAAAUUGCACUCUCCUCGGAGAGUAUGCCUGUUUGAGGGUCAGCCUAUAAAAAUCGACAUCGUUGCUGUUUCGCGGUGGCGUUCGUCGGAAUUGGGUCCUCUUUAAUUCUUUUGGUUUAAGCGACUUAAAAUUUUCUUUUUGUUUCAUUAACGUUUCUAAGAUCUUUUUCUUUAAAAGUUUAAGGUAU
rnacentral:misc_RNA from 1 species